rnacentral:rRNA from 1 species
UACGUAGGGUGCAAGCGUUGUCCGGAAUUAUUGGGCGUAAAGAGCUCGUAGGCGGUUUGUCGCGUCUGCUGUGAAAACGCGAGGCUCAACCUCGGGCCUGCAGUGGGUACGGGCAGACUAGAGUGCGGUAGGGGAGAUUGGAAUUCCUGGUGUAGCGGUGGAAUGCGCAGAUAUCAGGAGGAACACCGAUGGCGAAGGCAGAUCUCUGGGCCGUAACUGACGCUGAGGAGCGAAAGCGUGGGAGCGAACAGG